rnacentral:rRNA from 1 species
UACGUAGGGGGCAAGCGUUGUCCGGAAUCAUUGGGCGUAAAGCGCGUGUAGGCGGUCCGGUAAGUCGGGUGUGAAAACUCCAGGCUCAACCUGGAGACGCCACCCGAUACUGCUGUGGCUAGAGUCCGGUAGGGGAGCAUGGAAUUCCUGGUGUGAGCGGUGAAAUGCGCAGAUAUCAGGAGGAACACCGGUGGCGAAGGCGGGUCUCUGGGCCGAUACUGACGCUGAGACGCGAAAGCUAGGGGGAGCGAACAGG